GGCAAUUUUCGAGGGAGCACACGCCGGGCAGAGCGGAGUGUGCUUCUGCCUAGGACAGAGCGGCCAGGCUGCCGGCCUCCACUCUGCUUGGUACCCAGCGUGGAACAUGGGACAAGCCACUGCGCCUCUCUCAGCUCCAGCCCUGCUGUUGACAAAGCAAGCUCCCCAGGGCCCCGCUGAGAGCUAAUCGGCUUCUCCUUAGCAUUGGAGCCAGUACUUCGGCCUCUACCUUCCAGUGUAGACCUGGUUUCUCCGCUGUCACUCCCGCUUGGUGAAGCCUGCAAACGCGGGCCUAGGGUUGCAGCAUGACAAUCGAAGUGCUAUAUAGUAAAAUACUGCGAGAUGACGACACAGGACACUGGGUCCUGGCCCUAACUCUCUCUCCUGCCCCAGCGCUGUCCCAGUGAGACGCAUUCCUGAGGAACUGGGCCAAGUCCCUCUCCCACUGUAGGUAGCACGCUGGACGCCCAGCAACAGCAACGCCACACAACCGUGACUUCGGAGAGCUUUAUUUACUUUUUUAACUCACACAUAGGCAAAGCUCUGUGCUUCCACAGCUCGCGGGGAAACCUCAUCACCAUCACUGACAACGCACGCUCGCCCACUGCCGCUCUGGGGAUGGCCUUUGCUCUUUCUAGAACUCUCUAUGCAGCCUGGAAACAUUGACCCGGAAGUGAAACCGUGAGACAAUCCCGCUCCCCCCACAACUGCUUCCGGGGAGGUCACAGCCAGCACCAGCACUGGUCCGGCACGGUUCUCUUUCCUCAUCUUUCAGAGGCGGCACCCAGGCUCCCUGGGGACGCCAAGGUUUUACGUUCCCCCUAAAUGCACAUCUCUCAGCGGAGUCCGGGUCCUCUCCAGCAGGACCUGGGGGCCUCAAGGUGACUCCUAACAGCGCGAUGAGCUCGAAGAGUAAGUCCAAGGUCGGUGGUUGGUGCUGUCGUGGACAGUUGGACACAGCUGCCGUCAGCUGCUCCAGCAGGAUGAUCCAGACUUCAAUGAGACCUGUUGGCCGCAAAGCACACCCCCAUGACAUCCAGAUAAAUCCAUGCUGUCUAAAAACCUGCUACAGCAGGUCGUGUUGUCUAGGAAGACCCUACUUUGUAAAACUGCUCCUAAGUUAAGUAUAAAAUCAGCUGAGCUAUCCUGAAAUACACAAGGCUUCAAAGAAGAGAGACUUCUAUACUUCCAAAAUAAACCAUCAUGUAUUUUAUAAUAAAAAAGGCUGGGGGGGGCACGCUCUUGAUUUUUGUGCAAGGGCUGCAAAGUCAAGGUCAGGUGGCUGGCUAACUGUGGGAUACUGAAGAAGUCCUACGUGCAAUUAUUAAAGACAGUAUGGAAUAUUUUAAGAUGAAAAAGGAAGUCAGUAUAAAGGAAUAUACAGAAAAUAUGCUACAUACAAGAUGUCCUAUGCAUGCAAUGAAAACUACUAACCCUGGACAAAACCCACACUGCGCUCACUGUAAGCGUUCUGUCUCAGAGUAUAUGGCUCAACACCAUUUACUCACAUCCCAGGAUGCUGCUUGCU